ACGAACGCUGGCGGCAUGCCUAACACAUGCAAGUCGAACGAGACCUUCGGGUCUAGUGGCGCACGGGUGCGUCACGCGUGGGAACCUGCCCUUAGGUUCGGAAUAACUCCCCGCAAGGGGUGCUAAUACCGGAUAAUGUCUUCGGACCAAAGAUUUAUCGCCUUUGGAUGGGCCCGCGUUGGAUUAGCUAGUUGGUAGGGUAAAAGCCUACCAAGGCGACGAUCCAUAGCUGGUCUGAGAGGAUGAUCAGCCACACUGGGACUGAGACACGGCCCAGACUCCUACGGGAAGCAGCAGUGGGGAAUAUUGGACAAUGGGCGAAAGCCUGAUCCAGCAAUGCCGCGUGAGUGAUGAAGGCCUUAGGGUUGUAAAGCUCUUUUACCCGGGAUGAUAAUGACAGUACCGGGAGAAUAAGCUCCGGCUAACUCCGUG
rnacentral:rRNA from 1 species